rfam:Triticum urartu cultivar G1812 contig1067115, whole genome shotgun sequence.
AUACAUUUCUCUGCCUUUUGGCUAGAUCAAAUGUAGUAUUUGUUCUUAUCAGCUUUUUUUGAGAUAAAUGAAAACUUUAUUCAUUAGAAAUAAAAAGUACAUCGUUU